rfam:Renibacterium salmoninarum ATCC 33209, complete genome.
UAACGGUUCUUGGACGAGAUCUCCAGCCGCCCGGCCCAUCCUGACUCACCUUCCCCGGUGUCAGGCGGGGCAAACGGCGCGGAGGGGGAUCUGGUCUCAGAACCAAAGCGGG